AGGGUGACUGAUCUCAUAAGCCACUUAUAUGAGACACUAAUACAAGGAUGUAGGUGCUCAUUAGAGAAUGAGUUCACUAAAUUGAUCCAUCUUAAGAAAUAUCUUAUGGAUCUACUUACCUGUCAAAAGAUAUUUUCUUAUAUUGGGAGUUGUGUAUGUAGUCUUUUGACCUGAGACUACCAUAAAAUUUUGUAUACAUGAAUCCAUAUUUUAGUUCAU
rnacentral:lncRNA from 1 species